CGCAAACACAUAGCUUCUCCAUGUCUCUUCUUGGGCUUCUCACAGCAAGGUGACUGGGUUUGAACAACUGGUGAGGAGGAAAAAAUAACCCAUUGCUUAUUAACACUGAUCCAAGAUAGAGAAAGUGAGAAUGAUGGGGUCUGUUCUGGGAGAAGCCAAUUGAAGACAGCAUGAUAUCUGGG